GAGUUUGAUCAUGGCUCAGGACGAACGCUGGCGGCAUGCCUAACACAUGCAAGUCGAACGAAGGCUUCGGCCUUAGUGGCGCACGGGUGCGUAACGCGUGGGAAUCUGCCCUUUGCUUCGGAAUAACAGUGGGAAACUACUGCUAAUACCGGAUGAUGUCUUCGGACCAAAGAUUUAUCGGCAAGGGAUGAGCCCGCGUAGGAUUAGGUAGUUGGUGGGGUAAAGGCCUACCAAGCCGACGAUCCUUAGCUGGUCUGAGAGGAUGAUCAGCCACACUGGGACUGAGACACGGCCCAGACUCCUACGGGAGGCAGCAGUGGGGAAUAUUGGACAAUGGGGGGAACCCUGAUCCAGCAAUGCCGCGUGAGUGAUGAAGGCCUUAGGGUUGUAAAGCUCUUUUACCAGGGAUGAUAAUGACAGUACCUGGAGAAUAAGCUCCGGCUAACUCCGUGCCAGCCGCCGCGGUAAU
rnacentral:rRNA from 1 species